GAAUAAACAGCCACAGUAGUUACUGUACGUGACAUCAAAAAUUAACGCUUCAAAAUGGAACUGGGGAAGUCAAAAGAAGAAAUUCAAGAGGCACCACCAACAACGCCAACUGCUUUAGCACCUAGUUCUAAGG